rnacentral:misc_RNA from 1 species
CUGAGUUGAAAAACUCCAACCCCUGUGAACAUAACCUCUGUCGUUGCUUCGGCGGGCACGCCCGCCGGAGGUUCAAAACUCUUAUUUUUUCCAGUAUCUCUGAGCCUGAAAGACAAAUAAUCAAAACUUUCAACAACGGAUCUCUUGGUUCUGGCAUCGAUGAAGAACGCAGCGAAAUGCGAUAAGUAAUGUGAAUUGCAGAAUUCAGUGAAUCAUCGAAUCUUUGAACGCACAUUGCGCCCGCCGGUAUUCCGGCGGGCAUGCCUGUUCGAGCGUCAUUUCAACCCUCAAGCCUCGGCUUGGUGUUGGGGCGCCCGGGCCCUCCGCGGCCCGGGGCCCCCAAGUUCAUCGGCGGGCUCGGCGGUACACUGAGCGCAGUAAAACGCGGUAAAACGCGAACCUCGUUCGGAUCGUCCCGGCGUGCUCCAGCCGCUAAACCCCCAAUUUUUUAAA